CUAUAGCCAAUUAGGCUAACCAUGUUCUUUCCUCAGAUGUGCAAUGACUGCUAAUAGCAACUUCCUCAGUAGUAUAAACAGUCUGUUGUGCAUAUGGGUUGCACGAAGAACAUGGAGACAGAC
rnacentral:snoRNA from 1 species